UACCAGCACCCCGAGUGGUCGGGACGUUUAUUGGGCCUAAAGCAUCCGUAGCCGGUUCUACAAGUCUUCCGUUAAAUCCACCUGCUUAACAGAUGGGCUGCGGAAGAUACUAUAGAGCUAGGAGGCGGGAGAGGCAAGCGGUACUCGAUGGGUAGGGGUAAAAUCCGUUGAUCCAUUGAAGACCACCAGUGGCGAAGGCGGCUUACUGGUCCGAUACUGACGCUGAGGUGCGAAAGCGUGGGGAGCAAACAGG
rnacentral:rRNA from 1 species